rnacentral:rRNA from 1 species
CCUACGGGUGACAGCAGUGGGGAAUAUUGGACAAUGGGGGGAACCCUGAUCCAGCGACGCCGCGUGAGUGAAGAAGUAUCUCGGUAUGUAAAGCUCUAUCAGCAGGGAAGCAAGAAAUGACGGUACCUGACUAAGAAGCCCCGGCUAAAUACGUGCCAGCAGCCGCGGUAAUGCGAAGGGGGCAAGCGUUAUCCGGAUUUCCUGGGUGUAAAGGGAGCGUAGACGGCGAUGCAAGUCUGAAGUGAAAGGCGGGGGACCAACCCCCGGACUGCUUUGGAAACUGGAUGGCUGGAGUGCAGGAGAGGUAAGUGGAAUUCCUAGUGUAGCGGUGAAAUGCAUAGAUAUUAGGAAGAACACCAGUGGCGAAGGCAGCUUACUGGACUGUAACUGACGUUGAGGCUCGAAAGCGUGGGGAGCAAACAGGAUUAGAUACCCUAGUAGUC